rnacentral:rRNA from 1 species
CUUUACUGUAGUUUGGAAUUGGGUUCGGGCUCUUCUUGCGCAGCCUAGGUGGGAGGCUAUGAAGAUAAACUUUUGGGUUUAUUGGAGCCAACAGUGAGAGACCACUCUAGAGGAGCUAGAAUUCUAAUGGCGUUCCUUGAAGCAGGACGCUUGACAGUUUCAGAUGGGCAGUUUGACUGGGGCGGUCACCUCCUAAAAGGUAACGGAGGUGUGCAAAGGUUCCCUCAGGCUGGACGGAAAUCAGCCGUAGAGUGUAAAGGCAGAAGGGAGCUUGACUGCAAGACCUACAAGUCGAGCAGGGGCGAAAGCCGGCCUUAGUGAUCCGACGGUUCCGAGUGGAAGGGCCGUCGCUAAACGGAUAAAAGUUA